rnacentral:ribozyme from 1 species
AUAAAGAAAGAUAAAGAAGAGAAAGAAAAAGAAAAAGAAAAAGCUGAAGCAAAAAAGAAGAAGUAUGGUGCCCCUCCUGUGUAAAUAUUAUGAUGCAUCCUGUUUCUCUUUUUUUGCUUCAGUUUUUAUAACCCUUAUUUUUGUUUUUUUAAUUAUUACUAA